rnacentral:rRNA from 1 species
UACGGGGGGGGCAAGCGUUGUUCGGAAUUACUGGGCGUAAAGGGCUCGUAGGUGGCCAACUAAGUCGGACGUGAAAUCCCUCAGCUUAACUGGGGAACUGCGUCCGAUACUGGAUGGCUUGAGUUUGGGAGAGGGAUGCGGAAUUCCAGGUGUAGCGGUGAAAUGCGUAGAUAUCUGGAGGAACACCGGUGGCGAAGGCGGCAUUCUGGACCGAUAUUGACGCUGAGGAGCGAAAGCCAGGGGAGCAAACGGG